AAGAGACUCAAUUUCUGGGUUCAGUGUUUAACAUUUGAUCGUUCGUCUUAUUUGAAGAAAUUUAAAUAGUUAGGUCAUGCAUAAAUUAUUAUUCAUAUUUUAUCAUCUAACAAUAAUGAAAAUACUAAUCAUAAAAAAAGUUCAUAUAAGACGGACGGUCAAACAUUGAACGCGGAAACCCAAG
rfam:Oryza rufipogon genomic scaffold, chr01